ensembl:lncRNA
CUCUGCCCGUCCAGGAGGCCUGCUAGGCCAUCCCUCCCUCCUCUCUGGGCUCAGAGCUUCCUGUGCCUUACUCUUCUCCCAGCUUCCUCCAUCACUCCCUGGAACUCUCUGACACCUCCAUGGACCCUUGGCCACGCUUGCUCAGCGUACUGACGGGCGCAUGCACACACCACCCCUGCCCUUCAUCUCCCUUUGGGCACUCAUCACUGUUGAAAUAAGUCACUUGACUCAGUGUUUGUAUCUCGUCCACCCACUAGAAACUGAGCUCCAUGCAGGCAGGAACCAGGAAUGUCUUAGCCACCACCAGCUCCCCAGUAGCCAAUUGUCUAUUUCCUUGUCUGUGUCCAUCUGUGGGUUAAGGCUCAGAAUGGGGACACCGAGGCAUUUCCAACACCUGGCUGUCCGUCAGUGUCAUUUCCUCCUCUCCCUGACAUCUUCUGUAGAAAGAGUGGCGUGCAGCCAUGGGGCAAGUCCUAGAACCAAAUCUCAGCCCAGCCACAGCCAGCUGGUUGACCCUGGGCAAGUUGCCCAAACCUGUCUGAGUUUUAUCAGCCUCUCUAUAAACAAGGAUCGGUCAUCUACCUCUCAGGGCUGGAGGGGAGACUGACUUAUGUUAAGCACUGACCACAAUCUUUACAGUUUCCUUCCAUUUGAGGUCAUUGCCCAAGAAAGCCAAUUCACAGCCCAAAACAGGGAUCUGGACUGCGAUUCAUUCAUUCGUCAGCAGGACCCACGCAGUGUGGCUGGGUGAGGCAUGGACACAGUAGGUGGACCCCACAGACAAGAUCCUGGCCACUUCAGUGUUUGUGAGGUUUUGCAUGUUCAUCUUUCGUGUUUCUCUCUCUCUCUCUCUUUUUUGGUUUAUGCAUCAAGGUUUUUUUCCCCAAUAGUUUUAAACCCAACAUUAUCAUUAAAGGUAUCUAAAUCUCCCACACCAGCUAAUAAAAAUAUUGUGGGCUUUUCUUCCUGUUAUUUUUCUUUUCAAAGUAAAAACAAUGACUGCGGAUGUCUUCACAAGGAAAAUAAGUAAAGCCAGCUUUUGUUUGCAGACCAAGGUGCGAUAACGUGUCAUUUCCUGAGUGAGUUAAGUCCUGGCUGAGCACAACCUUGAAUGGGAGGAUGUGAUUCCG